AGGAACAUUACGAACGCGAAGAAUCCAAAAACCCGAACAAUUCCUACGGGAACGAACUUCACCGAAUCCUUUGAACCUUUUGGUAAUAAUUCUAGCGUAUAGUUAGAAAAUUUCAAAAUUUACAACAUGUUGGAAUCAGUAUUGUUGAGGUUGACUGAUAGAGGGUCGAGUGGAUGAAUUUUUAAUAGAAAAAUAUAUUGAAAUAAAUAAUGGUAUAAGUGUCAGUAUAAGUAUAAAUAUAAUGUACGCUGAUCCAGAUCCUCACUCUUAUAGUGUUACAAUAUAUAGCAGAGGACAUUAUCAAAAAGGUUAACCUUGUAGCUCUAGUUGAAGGCAACAAGAAACAGCAAUGGAAAUCUACUUACAACCCUUUUGUUUCUAG
rnacentral:misc_RNA from 1 species